rnacentral:rRNA from 1 species
CUGGCGGCGUGCCUAAUACAUGCAAGUCGAACGCACUCUCGGUUUUACGAUUGAAGGAGCUUGCUCCUGAUCGAUAAACAUUUGAGUGAGUGGCGGACGGGUGAGUAACACGUGGGUAACCUGCCCUAAAGUGGGGGAUAACAUUUGGAAACAGAUGCUAAUACCGCAUAAAACCUAACACCGCAUGGUGUAGGGUUGAAAGAUGGUUUCGGCUAUCACUUUAGGAUGGACCCGCGGUGCAUUAGUUAGUUGGUGAGGUAAAGGCUCACCAAGACCGUGAUGCAUAGCCGACCUGAGAGGGUAAUCGGCCACACUGGGACUGAGACACGGCCCAGACUCCUACGGGAGGCAGCAGUAGGGAAUCUUCCACAAUGGACGAAAGUCUGAUGGAGCAACGCCGCGUGAGUGAAGAAGGUUUUCGGAUCGUAAAACUCUGUUGUUGGAGAAGAAUGUAUCUGAUAGUAACUGAUCAGGUAGUGACGGUAUCCAACCAGAAAGCCACGGCUAACUACGUG